rnacentral:rRNA from 1 species
UGGGGAAUUUUGGGACAAUGGGCGCAAGCCUGAUCCAGCCAUGCCGCGUGCGGGAAGAAGGCCUUCGGGUUGUAAACCGCUUUUGUCAGGGAAGAAAUCUUCUGAGUUAAUACCUCGGGAGGAUGACGGUACCUGAAGAAUAAGCACCGGCUAACUACGUGCCAGCAGCCGCGGUAAUACGUAGGGUGCAAGCGUUAAUCGGAAUUACUGGGCGUAAAGCGCGCGCAGGCGUUUUGUAAGACAGAGGUGAAAUCCCCGGGCUCAACCUGGGAACUGCCUUUGUGACUGCAAGGCUUGAGUGCGGCAGAGGGGGCAUGGAAUUCCGCGUGUAGCAGUGAAAUUGCGUAGAUAUGCGGAGGAACACCGUGGCGAAGGCAAUCCCCUGGGCCUGCACUGACGCUCAUGCACGAAAGCGUGGGGAGCAAACAGGAUUAGAUACCCUGGUAGUCCACGCCCUAAACGAUGUCAACUGGUUGUUGGG